AGCAGCUUGCUGCUUCGCUGACGAGUGGCGGACGGGUGAGUAAUGUCUGGGAAACUGCCUGAUGGAGGGGGAUAACUACUGGAAACGGUGGCUAAUACCGCAUAACGUCGCAAGACCAAAGAGGGGGACCUUCGGGCCUCUUGCCAUCAGAUGUGCCCAGAUGGGAUUAGCUAGUUGGUGAGGUAACGGCUCACCAAGGCGACGAUCCCUAGCUGGUCUGAGAGGAUGACCAGCCACACUGGAACUGAGACACGGUCCAGACUCCUACGGGAGGCAGCAGUGGGGAAUAUUGCACAAUGGGCGCAAGCCUGAUGCAGCCAUGCCGCGUGUAUGAAGAAGGCCUUCGGGUUGUAAAGUACUUUCAGCGGGGAGG
rnacentral:rRNA from 1 species